AGCGGAGGAAAAGAAACUAACAAGGAUUCCCCUAGUAACGGCGAGUGAACCGGGAAAAGCUCAAAUUUGAAAUCUGGCGUCCUCAGGGCGUCCGAGUUGUAAUCUAUAGAAGCGUUUUCCGUGCCGGACCGUGUCCAAGUCCCUUGGAACAGGGUAUCAAAGAGGGUGACAAUCCCGUACUUGACACGACUACCGGUGCUCUGUGAUACGUUUUCUACGAGUCGAGUUGUUUGGGAAUGCAGCUCAAAAUGGGUGGUGAGUUCCAUCUAAAGCUAAAUAUUGGCGAGAGACCGAUAGCGAACAAGUACCGUGAGGGAAAGAUGAAAAGCACUUUGGAAAGAGAGUUAAACAGUACGUGAAAUUGUUGAAAGGGAAACGAUUGAAGUCAGUCGUGACCGAGAGGCUCAGCCGGCUCUGCCGGUGUAUUCCCCUCGGUCGGGUCAACAUCAGUUUUGUCCGGUGGAUAAGGGCGGUAGGAAGGUGGCACCCACGGGUGUGUUAUAGCCUGCCGUCGCAUACACUGGGUGAGACUGAGGAAUGCAGCUCGCCUUUAUGGCCGGGGUUCGCCCACGUCCGAGCUUAGGAUGUUGACAUAAUGGCUUUAAACGACCCGUCUUGAAACACGG
rnacentral:rRNA from 1 species